AUUUACCACCAGCUUUCUAUUUGCUUACACGCAGGCUCCUUUCUAUUUCCUGUUUUCUGUUUUCCCACUCAGGCCUCAGUCGCAGCUCUUCUAAAAUCCCAAUUCCGCGCUCACGAAACCCACUAAUCAUGAAAGUCAAUUAGUUAGAGAGCCAAAAAAUCAUGAGCGGAAACGAGUUUCGAUUCUUCUUGUCCUGUGACAUCAAUCUCCCGGUGACCUUCCGCGUCGAGAGAUUAGAAGGAUUGUUGCCUUCUACCAAAUCUCCAAAUUCAGUAAUUGAUCCCGCAACAGAGGAGAGAAGAUCCGAGCUCUACGUCGAGUGUGCAUUGUACAUUGAUGGCGCUCCAUUUGGCCUUCCCAUAAGAACAAGGCUGGAGUCUGCGGGACCAUCGUAUUACUGGAAUGAGCUGAUUACACUGAGUACUAAAUAUCGAGACUUAACUGCACACUCGCAGCUUGCUGUGACAGUCUGGGAUGUUUCACGGGGGAAAGAUGAGGGAUUAAUUGGUGCGGCUACUAUUCUUCUAUUCAACAGUAAGAUGCAACUCAAAACAGGCAAGCAAAAGCUUAGGCUUUGGCCAGGAAAAGAAGCUGAUGGAUCGUUUCCAACAACUACUCCUGGAAAGGUACCCAGGCAUGAACGUGGGGAGUUAGAGCGUCUAGAAAAGCUUGUGAAUAAAUACGAGAGGGGACAAAUUCAGUGCAUUGAUUGGCUUGACCGUCUAACAUUUAAAGCUAUGGAGAAAAUCAAGGAACGUGAGAGCUGUAGAAAUGGAAGUUCUCAUUUAUACUUGGUCAUUGAUUUCUGCAGUUUUGAACAUCGAGUUGUUUUUCAGGAGUCAGGAGCAAAUUUCUUGUUACCAUCUCCUAUAGCUUCAACAAAUGAACUUGUUAUUGUGUGGGACCCAGAACUGGGAAAGAUAAAUCCCUCUGAGCACAAGCAACUAAAGUUGGCUAGGAGUCUAACACGUGGUAUCAUUGACAGGGAUCUGAAGCCAAGCUCCAAUGAACGAAAGUCAAUACAAAGAAUUCUAAAAUAUCCUCCAACAAGGACUUUGAAUGGAGAUGAGAGGCAGCUUCUUUGGAAAUUCCGUUUCUCCUUGAUGUCUGAGAAGAGGGCUCUCACAAAGUUUUUACGAUGUGUUGAAUGGAGCGAUGUUCAGGAAGCAAAACAGGCAUUAGAAAUGAUGGGUAGAUGGGAAAUGAUUGAUGUGUGUGAUGCACUGGAGCUUCUGUCGCCUGUUUUUGAAAGCGAAGAGGUUCGUGCAUAUGCUGUUAGUGUUCUUGAAAGAGCUGAUGAUGAAGAGCUUCAGUGUUACUUGCUUCAACUUGUUCAAGCUCUUCGGUUUGAGCGCUCUGAUAAAUCUUGCCUUUGUCAAUUCCUUGUCCAACGCUCGUUGAACAACAUUGAGUUGGCAAGCUUUCUUCGUUGGUACGUUGCUGUGGAACUUUAUGAUCCUGCAUAUGCCAAACGUUUUUAUUGUACUUACGAGAUCCUGGAAGAGAAUAUGAUGAAGUUGGCAGGUGGUCCAAAUGGAGAGGAAGAUGGAUUCAAGUUGUGGCAGAGUUUGGUGCGUCAGACAGAAUUGACAGCUCAGUUAUGUUCUAUAAUGAGAGAUGUAAGAAAUGUGCGAGGCAACACUCAAAAAAAAA
rnacentral:misc_RNA from 1 species